AAUGAACGCUGGCGGCGCGCCUAAUACAUGCAAGUCGAGCGGUAAGGCCCUUUCGGGGGUACACGAGCGGCGAACGGGUGAGUAACACGUGGGUGACCUGCCCUCAGCUCUGGGAUAAGCCUGGGAAACCGGGUCUAAUACCGGAUAUGACUCCAUGACGCAUGUUGUGGGGUGGAAAGCCUUGUGCGGCUGAGGAUGGGCCCGCGGCCUAUCAGCUUGUUGGUGGGGUGAUGGCCUACCAAGGCGACGACGGGUAGCCGGCCUGAGAGGGCAACCGGCCACACUGGGACUGAGAC
rnacentral:rRNA from 1 species